GUCGGUUUGAGCGGAGGCAGGGGGUGGUCUCCAAUCAAACAGAGAAAAGGUCCUGGAGAAGAUGGAAGCUUCAUGAUGCUGCCACGUGGUUCCGUGACCCUUCGAGUCCUGCCCGUCAAGCCCGCCUUAAUGAAAGCUUUCCCUCUCCGAGGUCCCUGGAAUUGUAAAGAUUUCUGGUGAGAUUCUACUUCCACCAGCUACGGGAUUAGGCAGUCCAGACGGAGCCCACGGGGCACCUCUUCAGGAUGAAGCGCGCCAGAGCACUAACUCCGGAACUGCAGCCGAAGCUGGGCGCGCA